GCCCAACCCUCAGCCCUCACACCGUCCACUUACUCACCACAAAACAAAACAUUCUCCUCAUUAAGUAAAGGCGAUUGAAAAAUGACUAGGAGCCACAACGACAGUACCGCAAGGGAAACAUGAAAUAAAAUGAAAAUCGAAGCGCAACAAAGCAGAGCUUCCACCUCGUACCUUUUGCAUCAUGGUCCAGCGAGUUCAACCAAGCGAAACGCCCUUUAAGUUUGACCCCCCGAAACUAGGCGAGCUACUUUUAAACAGCCUUACGAGCCAACCCAUCCCCGUGGCAAAGGGGCGGGAAGAUUUAAAAGUAGAGGCGACAUACCUACCGAGCCUAGAGAUAGCUGGUUAUUUAGGAAAAGGAUUUAAGUCCACCUUUAAGUUUUUUAAGUACACUCAAAACCCCCCACAAACUUAAAAGUCAUUCAAAUAAGGUACAGCCUAUUUGAACAAGGAGACAGCCUGCAACAUAGGGUAAUACACAUCUUCCUGUGACCGGGUAGGCCUAAGAGCAGCCAACCUCCAAAAAGCGUCCAAGCUUUGUCACUAACCAUUAAUAAUCCCACCAUCAACUAAUAACCCUAAACCACUACUAAAUAACCCCAUACUACUAUGGAAAAUAUUAUGCUAGAACUAGUAACAAGAAGAAGAACUUCUCCUGAAUACGAGCAUAAGCUGCAAUGAACUACUCACCGGCACUCACCGCUGCUAAACCGAAAGUAAUAACACUUCAAGAAAACCCUACCUCACUCAGCGUUAACCUUACACCAGACUAUUCCAGGAAAGAUUAAAAAAGGGGGAAGGAACUCGGCAAAUAUUAGCUCCGCCUGUUUACCAAAAACAUCGCCUCUUGACAAGUCAUAAGAGGUCCGACCUGCCCAGUGACAAAGUUAAACGGCCGCGGUACCCUGACCGUGCGAAGGUAGCAUAAUCACUUGUUCUUUAAAUCAGGACUAGUAUGAAUGGCCCCACGAGAGCUAUACUGUCUCCCCCCUUUAAUCAGUGAAACUGAUCUCCCCGUGAAGAAGCGGGGAUAAUCAUAUAAGACGAGAAGACCCCAUGGAGCUUCAAACUCGCACCACUGCCCCCCCCCCCCCCCUCCACCCUAGUAAGUCGGGCAAGAUGGUAACGAGUCUUUCGGCUGGGGCGACCACGGAGAAAAACAAAACCUCCAUGAUGAAAGGAACACCCUAAUCAAAGAGCCACUGCUCUAAGAAUCAAUAAAUUGACACAUUGACCCAAUAUUUUGAUCAACGAACCAAGUUACCCUGGGGAUAACAGCGCAAUCCAUUUCAAGAGACCUCAUCAACAAAUGGGCUUACGACCUCGAUGUUGGAUCUAGGUAUCCUAGUGGUGCAGCCGCUACUAACGGUUCGUUUGUUCAACGAUUAAAACCUUACGUGAUCUGAGUUCAGACC
rnacentral:rRNA from 1 species